GGAUGCAAUCAUACCAGCAUUGAAGCACC
rnacentral:rRNA from 3 species